rnacentral:snoRNA from 1 species
AAACCAUGAUGAGGACAUUCUCUGAGAAGGUCUUUAAAACUUUCCAUGCAUCGAGAAAAAGAUUCAUUGGGUCAUUGGCAAAACUAGAGAAUGCCGUUCCUAAGUUU